GUUGUAGCUCAGUGGUAGAGUGUAUGCUUAGCAUGCAUGAGGACCUGAGUUCAAACCCCAGCUUGAACA
rnacentral:tRNA from 1 species